UACAGCCACAUCAUGUUGAAAAACCAGUUCCCAUCUGAUCACUGAGUUAAGCAAUGUUGAGCCUGAUCAGUACCUAGAUAGGUGACCACUUGGGAAUACAAGGUGCUGUAAG